AUGUUACUCCCUCCUUUCGGAAUUACUUGUCUCGGAAAUGGAUGUAUCUAGAACUAAAAUACAUCCAGAUACAUCCAUUUCUGCGACAAGUAAUUCUGAACGGAGAGAGUAUAUG
rnacentral:pre_miRNA from 1 species